GGGGGAGUAGAUUAAGUAGAUCAAGUGGCCUUCAAAGUCACUGAGUGUGGGUUCGAUUCCCAUCUUCCCUG
rnacentral:tRNA from 1 species